rnacentral:rRNA from 1 species
UACGUAGGUGGCAAGCGUUGUCCGGAUUUACUGGGCGUAAAGAGCGCGCAGGCGGUCGUUCAAGUCGCGUGUGAAAGCCCCCGGCUCAACUGGGGAGGGUCACGCGAUACUGAUCGACUCGAAGGCAGGAGAGGGUAGUGGAAUUCCCGGUGUAGCGGUGAAAUGCGUAGAUAUCGGAAGGAACACCAGUGGCGAAAGCGGCUUCCUGGUCCAGCACCGACGUUCAGGCACGAAAGCGUGGGGAGCAAACAGG